rnacentral:rRNA from 1 species
AGUCGAGCGAGAACCAGGGCUUCGGUCUUGGGGACAGCGGCGAGCGGGUGAGUAACACGUGGAUAACCUGCCCUCGGCACCGGGAUAGCCCGGGGAAACCCGGAUUAAUACCGGAUGGCCCUUCCGGCUCGCGAGCCGGUCGGAAAAGGUAGCUUCGGCCUCCGGCCGAGGAUGGGUCCGCGGCGGAUUAGCUUGUUGGUGGGGUAACGGCCUACCAAGGCUCCGAUCCGUAGCUGGUCUGAGAGGACGAUCAGCCACACUGGGACUGAGACACGGCCCAGACUCCUACGGGAGGCAGCAGUGGGGAAUCUUGCACAAUGGGCGAAAGCCUGAUGCAGCGACGCCGCGUGAGGGAGGAAGGCCUUCGGGUUGUAAACCUCUUUCAGGAGGGACGAAGCUACUCGGGUUAAUAGCCCAGAGGGUGACGGUACCUCCAGAAGAAGCCCCGGCUAACUACGUGCCAGCAGCCGCGGUAAUACGUAGGGGGCAAGCGUUGUCCGGAUUUACUGGGCGUAAAGCGCGUGUAGGCGGCCAUGCAGGUCCGUUGUGAAAACUGGAGGCUCAACCUCCAGACGUCGACGGAAACCGUGUGGCUAGAGUCCGGAAGAGGAGAGUGGAAUUCCUGGUGUAGCGGUGAAAUGCGCAGAUAUCAGGAAGAACACCAAUGGCGAAGGCAGCUCUCUGGGACGGUACUGACGCUGAGACGCGAAAGCGUGGGGAGCGAACAGGAUUAGAUACCCUGGUAGUCCACGCCGUAAACGAUGGGUGCUAGGUGUGGGAGGUGUCGACUCCUUCCGUGCCGUAGCUAACGCAUUAAGCACCCCGCCAGGGGAGUACGGCCGCAAGGCUAAAACUCAAAGGAAUUGACGGGGCCCCGCACAAGCAGCGGA